CAAAUAAUAGCCGAACGACAGCACAUCCGUUCCUUUCUCUUAUAAAAAUUAACAACACAUUUUCACUUUAAAAUUCCCCUAAUCUCUCAACUCCACUGCACGCAAUCCUCCGAAGAACCCUAAAUCCAGGUGCUGUCCAAGUUUACAUUUAUAGAUGAGAUCAUCAUAUUUGACCAAUGGUGUGAAUAUUAAUUUUCUUUUAUUAUGUCUUUAUUUUUGUAGUUCAGUUUUCAUGGAGCUUGUUGCAAUGGAGUCAAUUGAGUGGUCAACCUUAAUAUUUAUUACAUUGUAGGACACUCACAUGAAAACAUUAUAUCUUUCUUGUUUUAUUUUGUGUAUGUGAGAUUUGUGGCAUAAAUCAAUGAUUUCCAUAUU